GGGUUAUCUUAACAAUUUAACGGCUAUCUUAGUAUACACUUACGAUAACUAGUUAAGAUAGCCCUAUUAUCGACUUCGAAGUAACCGUCUUUGAUUUCUAAGAGAAUAUUAGUAUUUGCGGCAAAAUCGGUAUUAAAACUAAAGUCGUCUACUGUAUGUGUUUAAAAGAAUGCUAAAAAUAUACUAUGAUUCGUUUUUUGUUGCAGACUCUACAUCCACUGUCAAGUAAAGCCCUGUUUAAUGCUCCUUUCUGGCAUAGAUAAUAAACGAAUAUUCAAGUUAAUAAAUUCUAUUCUUCAAAAACACAUCUACAUGGAAUGGUAACAAUAAAUCAAGAGAACAAAUCAACUAACAUAUCAUACAAAUACGGAAUGCAAUCCGCAAUACGAAAAACCCC
rnacentral:lncRNA from 1 species